GCAUGAGGGGACCCGGGUGUCG
rnacentral:miRNA from 1 species